rnacentral:rRNA from 1 species
UACAGAGGUGGCGAGCGUUGUUCGGAUUUACUGGGCGUAAAGGGCGCGUAGGCGGCGAAGUGUGUGAGGUGUGAAAUCCAUGGGCUCAACCCAUGAAGUGCGCCUCAAACUGCUUCGCUCGAGUUCGGGAGGGGAGAUCGGAAUUCAGGGUGUAGCGGUGAAAUGCGUUGAUAUCCUGUGGAACACCGGUGGCGAAGGCGGAUCUCUGGACCGAUCCCGACGCUGAGGCGCGAAAGUGGGGGGAGCAAACAGG